GACGAACGCUGGCGGCGUGCUUAACACAUGCAAGUCGAACGGAAAGGCCCUGCUUUUGUGGGGUGCUCGAGUGGCGAACGGGUGAGUAACACGUGAGUAACCUGCCCUUGACUUUGGGAUAACUUCAGGAAACUGGGGCUAAUACCGGAUAGGAGCUCCUGCUGCAUGGUGGGGGUUGGAAAGUUUCGGCGGUUGUGGAUGGACUCGCGGCUUAUCAGCUUGUUGGUGGGGUAGUGGCUUACCAAGGCUUUGACGGGUAGCCGGCCUGAGAGGGUGACCGGCCACAUUGGGACUGAGCUACGGCCCAGACUCCUACGGGAGGCAGCAGUGGGGAAUAUUGCACAAUGGGCGGAAGCCUGAUGCAGCAACGCCGCGUGCGGGAUGACGGCCUUCGGGUUGUAAACCGCUUUCGCCUGUGACGAAGCGUGAGUGACGGUAAUGGGUAAAGAAGCACCGGCUAACUACGUG
rnacentral:rRNA from 1 species